rnacentral:rRNA from 1 species
ACAAUGGAGGAAACUCUGAUGUAGCAACGCCGCGUGGAGGAUGACACAUUUCGGUGCGUAAACUCCUUUUAUAUGGGAAGAUAAUGACGGUACCAUAUGAAUAAGCACCGGCUAACUCCGUGCCAGCAGACGCGGUAAUACGGAGGGUGCAAGCGUUCCUCGGAAUCACUGGGCGUAAAGCGCGCGCAGGCGGUCUUUUAAGUUGGAGGUGAAAUCCUAUGGCUCAACCAUAGAACUGCAUCCAAAACUGAAAGACUAGAGUCUGGGAGGGGAAGAUGGAAUUAGUGGUGUAGGGGUAACAUCCGUAGAGAUCACUAGGAAUACCAAAAGCGAAGGCGAUCUUCUGGAACAGUACUGACGCUGAGGCGCGAAGGCGUGGGGAGCAAGCAG